rnacentral:piRNA from 1 species
UAUAGGUGUAGUUUAGAGUUUUUAUAAUUU